AUUGAACGCUAGCGGCAGGCCUAACACAUGCAAGUCGAACGAGUGGCGGACGGGUGAGUAAUGUAUGGGAAACUGCCCGAUGGAGGGGGAUAACUACUGGAAAGAGUAGCUAAUACCGCAUACCAUCGGAUGUGCCCAUAGGGGAUUAGCUAGUAGGUGGGGUAAAGGCUCACCAAGGCGACGAUCCCUAGCUGGUCUGAGAGGAUGACCAGCCACACUGGAACUGAGACACGGUCCAGACUCCUACGGGAGGCAGCAGUGGGGAAUAUUGCACAAGGGGCGCAAGCCUGAUGCAGCCAUGCCGCGUGUAUGAAGAAGGCCUUCGGGUUGUAAAGUACUUUCAGCGAGGAGGCGUUACUCGCAGAAUAAGCACCGGCUAACUCCGUGCCAGCAGCCGCGGUAAUUC
rnacentral:rRNA from 1 species